CCUUAUUUAACAACACUCUCCACAUCUUCAAUGCACAGAUGCCCACACUCUGCAACGACGGGAGCAGUUGAACACUGGUUCUAGCAUCUCUUCCUAAUGGAGGAGGGUGUAUGAAAAUGUACCCUCUCAAAUCCACAAGUUUUUACAUCUCUUCUCUAUAGAUAUCUAUUUCCAAGUUUAUUCUCCAUCUGGCAUCAGCAGGUAUGCAAACCACCUUCCUAGUGCACUGUUGAUUCCCCAAUUUUAUACAGAAACUGGGGGAGAACUACAAGUUACGAGCCAAUCAAUAGAUCUUUCCUACCAUAUGCUUUUGUAGCUAUAUAUUUCAUGAUAUUGUAGAGUCAAAAGCAUUGGAGGUCCUUACCUAUUUUAACAAGUGCAGUGAGAUCCCUGAACAUUUUCCGCAGACAUAAAGAUUCUCCAGUUAUGCAGUAAGUGUUCUUUGUAGCUCCAGAUGCCUAAUUGUGCUUUUAUGUAACAAAGUUAAGCCCAACUCAACCAGUCGACCUCAAAUUUUUUUUUAAAAAAGGAAACAAUACCACCAUGACAUGCCCCAUCC
rnacentral:lncRNA from 1 species